GUUAGGAAUAUUGGACAAUGGGCGCAAGCCUGAUCCAGCCAUGCCGCGUGAGUGAUGAAGGUCUUCGGGUUGUAAAGCUCUUUAGCCGAUGAUUAUAAUGACUGUAGUCGGAAAAUAAGCCCCGGCUAACUUCGUGCCAGCAGCCGCGGUAAUACGAAGGGGGCGAGCGUUAUUCGGAAUCACUGGGCGUAAAGCGUGCGUAGGCGGCUUUGCAAGUUGGGAGUGAAAGCCCAGGGCUCAACCCUGGAAUUGCUCUCAAAACUGCAAGGCUCGAAUUCGGGAGAGGAUAGCGGAAUUGUCAGUGUAGCAGUGAAAUGCGUAGAUAUUGACAGGAACACCAGUGGCGUAAGCGGCUAUCUGGACCGAUAUUGACGCUGAGGCACGAAAGCGUGGGGAUCAAACAGGAUUAGAUACCCUUGUAGUCC
rnacentral:rRNA from 1 species